GUGUGAAACACAGCAGAGUGGUUAAUAUAACCAAGAAUUGCCGAUUUUCUUCUUUGUAAACAGUACAUUAAUUGCACCAACACCAGUUGCACGCAUAUUCCUUGCUGCGUAGCGGUUUAUCUGAAGCAGUUGUCAGAGCAACGGUUUCCCAUCCUUUUACAAUCGGGUUCCAUUCUAUCCUGCUCAUCGCGAGAGGGGAGCCGCGGAGGGUUGCAUUGCAGUGACCUCAUCUCAUCCACCCAGCAGCUGCGAAGCAAGGCGGAGCGACUGGCUGAAACUUUGAAUGAACUUAGUAGUUGAACAAUCGUGAAGCGGACGCUGGAGUUAACGGUGAAGGGAAGACUAUUUGGAGGUUUUGUGAGAGAAUUUUCAAGAGUCAGCCUUGAAUUGUUUAAAAAACGUGACAGUGUUCUAGCUUCUCGCUGUCUGGGAUCUCGUUGCAUUUUCACUCAUCUACCAAAAACGUCUGAAAGGUGCCAAAAGGUAUCCACCUCAGGGACCGUCUGUGAAGCCUGUGCGAUAUUCAGGCGGCAAAAAUGCAGUCCAGUAAGCUGAUCUAAGGUCCAGCAGACCAGGUGUUCUCCAGCCCUCCAUCAGCCUUCGUCUCAGCCUCCCUCAAGUCCUCCCAGCGCCCCAUGCUUUGUGAGGCUCCGUCUCCCCUCCUCUUCAUGGAAACGAUGGUCCAGCUCCUCUGCUGAACCUCACCCCUAACCCAGCCCCGCUCCCCCCCCCCCCAACCCUCCCUCAGCGUCGCCAUGACGAGCCUGAAGCGUUCCCAGACGGAGCGCUCGGUCGGGGGUUCCGUUCCCGCCUCCGACGAGUUCUACACCCGCCGCCUGCGCCUGCCCAACGGCGGAGCCCCGCCCCCUCGCAGCGAGAGCGCCCACAUCUCCUCCUCCGCCGCCGCCACGCCCGGCGUGCCCAAGAUGGGGGUGCGCGCCCGCGUCGCAGACUGGCCCCCCAGGAAGGACGGAGGGGGCGGGCUGUGGCACAUCACCGUGGAGACGGACUCCCCCGGGUCCACCACCUCCUCCAACUCUGGAGGAAGUGGAGGAGGAGGAAGUGGUAGUUUGGGAGGAGGAGGAAGUAGCAGUGGGGGAGGAGGAAGUGGAGGAGGAAGUGGAGAAAGGGAACGAGAGAAGGAAAGGGGCGGAGGGGGCGGCAGCGCGACAACGGCCCAUAGCAACCUGUCGGCCAAGCUGGGUCACCUGAUCAGCCCACAGGAUUCGUCCAUGCUGAGGAACAUCCACAACACGCUGAAGAACAAGAUGCAGAGCAAGGGCAAGGACAACCGCUUCCUGUCCCCGGACGGCUACCUGGGCUCGCCGCGCAAGGGCAUGAGGCGCAUCCGCCAGCGCAGCAACAGCGACAUCACCAUCAGCGAGCUGGACGGCGACGGCAGCGAGGGCUGGUCCUUCUCGGGCUGGACGCCCAUGCACCGCGAGUACGGCAGCACGUCCUCCAUCGACAAGCACGGCGUCUCCGGGGAGAGCUUCUUCGACAUGCUCAAGGGCUACCACUCCACCGACGUCCCCGACCAGCGCAGCCCGGCCCCCGACAGGCUGGGGGAGAUGCUGACCGUGGCCCCCGUGAAGCAGGCGGCCCUGGACCUGCCCGACGGGCCCCUGGGCCCGGCCCGAGGCAGCCCGGCCAGCCGGCUGAAGGACAGGGAGAAGCACCUGAAGAGGAGGUCCAAGUCGGAGACGGGCGGCGAGUCCAUCUUCCGUAAGCUCCGCAGCGUGAAGGCGGAGGGCGACUCGUCGCGGGCGGGGUCGGACGCGGAGGACGGGUGCCGGGGGGACGAGACGGGGCCCGCGCCAAGGCCGUGGGCGUGCCAGAAGGGCUUCUCUCACUUCGACGUGCAGUCCCUCCUGUUCGACCUCAACGAGGUGGUGCAGAGCCGCCAGUCGGUGGUCAAGCGGAAGAACACCACCACGGGGGCCUCGGCCGCCGCCGCCGCCUCCGCCACUUCCUCCCUCUCGUCCAAUCAGAGCGGGAGCGGGUACGGCUCGCCCUGCGGUUCCCAGGAGGAGCUGAAUGCCAAGGAGGGGCCGGGACACGCCCCCAGCCCCGCCCUGGACCCCGGCGACGAGAGGAGCAACGAGCUGCUGCUCAACUGCCCCUGCUUCCGGAACGAGAUCGGGGGGGAGGGCGACAGGAGCAUCUGUGCCUCCAAGCAGCAGGGCAGCAUCGGCAGCGGGGGCAGCUCGGGGGGCUCGGAGGAGGCGGGGCCCCUGGAGGCCCUCCUCAGCACCCACUUCACCAACGCCGGCGUAGCCGUGCUGGAGGCAGCCAAGGACGGGCCGGGCCUGCACGCCGACAGGACCAAGCGCUACAUCAUGGAACACGUGGACCUGGGCUCCUACUACUACAGGAAGAGCUUCUACCUGAGAGAGCACUGGACCUACCUGGGUGUGGACGAGACGCUGGGCCCAGUAGCAGUGAGCCUGCGCAGAGAGAAGCUGGAGGAGCACAAAGAACAUGGGCAGCAGUACAACUACCGGGUCAUCUUCAGGACCAGCGAGCUGAACACCCUGCGCGGGUCCAUCCUGGAGGACGCGGUGCCCUCCACCUCCAAGCACGGCCUGGCGCGGGGCCUGCCCCUGAAGGAGGUGCUGGAGUACCUGGUGCCUGAGCUCAACGCCCACUGCCUGCGCCUGGCGCUCAACACCCCCAAGGUCACGGAGCAGCUCAUGAAGCUGGACGAGCAGGGGCUGAGCUUCCAGCUCAAGGUGGGGGUGAUGUACUGUGCUGCGGGCCAGAGCAGCGAGGAGGAGAUGUACAACAACGAGGGGUCCAGCCCCCCCCUGGAGGAGUUCCUGCAGCUGCUGGGCGACAAGGUCCGUCUGAAGGGCUUCAGCAAGUACCGCGCCCAGCUGGACACCAAGACUGACUCCACAGGAACCCACUCCCUCUACACCACCUACAAGGAUUAUGAGAUCAUGUUCCACGUCUCCACCAUGCUGCCCUACACCCCCAACAACAAACAGCAGUUGCUGCGGAAACGCCACAUCGGGAACGACAUUGUCACCGUGGUGUUCCAGGAGCCCGGGGCGCUGCCCUUCACGCCCAAAAACAUCCGCUCCCACUUCCAGCACGUGUUUGUGGUGGUGCGCGCGCACCAGCCCUGCUCCGACAACACCAGCUACAGCGUGGCAGUCACUCGUUCCUGUGACGUCCCCUCCUUCGGCCCUCCCAUCCCCGAGGGCGUCACCUUCCCCAAGUCCUGUGUGUUCCGGGACUUCCUGCUGGCCAAGGUCAUCAACGCCGAGAGCGCCGCCCACAAAUCGCACAAGUUCCGCGCCAUGGCAACGCGGACCCGGCAGGAGUACCUGAGGGACCUGGCGGAGCGACACACCACCAGCACGCCCAUCGACCCUUCCGGAAAGUUUCCGUUCAUAUCGCUGGCUCACAAGAGGAAGGAGAAAAGCCGUCCUUACGCGGGGGCGGAGCUACGCAGCCUGGGCGCCAUCACGUGGGCGGUCCACGCGGAGGAUCACGGGGCGGGCGGGGAGCUGGAAGCGCUAUUGGCCAUCUCGAACGACUUCCUCAUCCUAUUGGACCAGGAAGCCAAGGCGGUGGUGUUUAACUGUGCCACGAAGGACGUGAUUGGCUGGACCCUGGGGAGCCCCGCCUCCAUGCGGAUCUUCUAUGAGAGGGGGGAGAGUGUGUCUCUGAGGAGCGUCAGCAACAACACGGAGGACUUCAGAGAGGUGGUUAAACGCCUGGAGUUCCUAACGAAGGGCUACGAGACCUCGGAGAUGACUCUGAGGCGUAACGCCCUGGGCCAGCUGGGUUUCCAUGUCAACUACGAGGGCAUCGUGGCGGAGGUGGAGCCCUACGGCUACGCCUGGCAGGCGGGCCUCCGGCAGGGCAGCCGAUUGGUGGAGAUCUGCAAGGUUGCUGUGGCGACCCUGACCCACGAGCAGAUGAUCGACCUGCUGAGGACGUCGGUGACGGUCCGGGUGGUGAUCAUCCCUCCGCACGAGGACGCCACGCCACGCAGGGGCUGCUCUGAGCUCUUCCGUGUCCCCGUGGUGGAGUACAAGGGCAGCGGGGAGAGCGGCUCGUUUGAGUACAAGUUCCCCUUCCGCAGCAACAACAACAAGUGGCAGCGCACGUCCAGCAGCCCCCAGCAGUCCCUGACGGCCUCCCCCCAGCCCCACACCCCCAACCGGGCCGUCAGCCUGGGCAGCUCCGUGGGGAAGACCCUGUCGGCCGAGAGGCCCGAGAGGAACACAGCCAUCCCCCGCAGUGUCAGCAGUGACGGCCGGCCCCUGGACACUAAGAGGAUGUCUCCAGGCAGCGAGAACUAUGCCCUGGCUUCGUCGCUGGCUCUGGGGCGCUCGCCUCACAACCGCAGCUCUCCCAGCAGCCUCUCCUGUUCCACUGACGCCUCCGCUGGCUCCGCCCACUGGAGACAGAAAUCCAUGCCUGAGGCAUUCAGUGGCAGUCGCCACCCCCCCCUCUCUGCAGAGCGGCAGGGCACCGGAGAGGGGGGGACAAGUGGCAAGUCCACUCCCAAUUGGCAGAGGAUGGAGGAAGGGGGCGGAGCUGAAAGAAACUCUCCAGACGCACCCAUGUCCAAGCCUGGUCCCGGCUACUCCGGAGCUCCACGCAUCCAGAGGCAGGAGCAGGUCAUCCACCUGUCCCCCAAGAAGGGCAGCCAGUCUGACGGCCCGUACUCGGGCCACUCCAGCAGCAACACCCUGUCCAGCACAGCCUCCAGCGGGGGCCACAGCGACAGCGACAAGUGGUACGAUCUGGGGGCCGGGGGCCCGGGGGACCAGCCCGACACGGAGCCCAACGGCCUGGGAGGGGGCUACCUCCAGGGGGCCUCGGCCGACAGUGGCAUCGACACCAGCUCCUACGGAGCCUCCCACUCCCACGGCAGCUCCAGCUCCCUGCUGCCCCCGGGGGGCCGCGAGGCCCGCGAGAGGACCCCCUCCCCCUGGCACAGCCCCACCGAGGGGGGCCGCAGGGUGCUGGAGAGGUCCGCGGCCACCGCCGAGUCCCCGGGCCCCCCGGGGGAGAGGGGGGGCGAGGGGAAGGCCCGGAGCCCCCCCACACACCUGCUGGUGAGAGACAGCAGCACCUACAGUCUGAGUGAAGCCAGCUCCCACUCCAGCUCCAGACACUCCGGCCACAGCUCCCCCCGGGACGAGACCUCGUCCUCGGCCACCUCGCCCUCGACGCAGUCCUCCGUCUCCCCCGGGCCCAAGACCUUCUACCCCCGCCAGGGCGCUACUUCCAAGUACCUGAUUGGCUGGAGGAAGCCGGGCUCCACCAUCAACUCCGUCGACUUCGGAGACACGAGAAAGAAGUCUCCAGGGGAGGGGGGUGAAGGUGGCCCAUCCCAGACCAGGCCCUCUCUGAGGGACAUGCACUCCCCCCAGCCCCACGCCAAGUCCACCAUGGAGGACGACUCCCGCAGACACAACGCCCCCGACAGCCCCCCUCACUCCCGUAGGCACAAGGACAAGUCCUCCUCAUCGGGCAAGCCCCCCAGUCGUCGCUCGCUCCACAGGACCCUGUCAGACGAGAGUAUCUACCGGGGCCAGCGUCUCCCCAGCCUGGGAGGCUCCAUGCUGGAGCAGGCCCUGGGCAGCGACGUGCUGUUCAGCUGCUCCACCGUGCCGCGCUCGCCCACCACCCGCGGCGUGCCCCUCCGACGGCCCUCCUACAAGCUGGGGGUCAAGCUGCACGGUGACCUGUCUGCGUCCGACACCUCAUUGGCUGAAAUGGCGGAGAGGCACCGAGGGCCCCUCCCCCAGGAUCUGAUGCCCCUCCCCCCUAGUGAGAGGGACAGCCCCCUGGACUGGACCCUCCUCGUAGACGUGGCCAACACCUUUGAAAGUGAGAGAGGAGCAGUCCAGCGGGGGUUUGUGUUCAGCGACUCCAACCACAGAGGCAGUGGAGCCUCCAGCCCCCAGCAGCACAUAGAGCUGCAGCCCGCCCCAGUGUCCAGGCCCUCCUCAAGCGAGGGUCAUAUGGGUCUGGAGAGGAAGGUGACCAAACUGGAGGCCAUGGUCAAGAUGCUGCAGGACGAUCUGAAGAAGGAGAGGGAGGAGAAGAGCAGGCUGCAGGUCCAGAUCAAGAGGCUGUGGGAGGACAACCAGCGACUGCAGGACGAGUCCCAGAGCUCGGCCGCCAAGCUCAAGAAGUUCACCGAGUGGGUCUUCAACACCAUCGACAUGAACUGAGGCUCACACACACACACACACACACACCCUGAGGAGAGGAGAGGGAGAGGGGAGAGGAACUGUUGUUUUUUUCUACCCAUCGCGCCAGGGUCUGUUUCCCCAUUCAUUAACAGCCCCCAUGUCCUGCUUCACCUGAAGGACUAGUUCAAACACAUCCAUCCUUCCUGCCCCGAGGGAAGACUCCCCCUCUGUCACACCCGACACCAGAGAGACCAAUCAGGAAAAGUCUCCCUACCACAGCCUUGAGGGUGUGAUCUACCCCGAAACACUGCCCUGCGACACUCCCUCCUCCUCUCUCCUUCUCCCUUCCUCCACUCCCCCCCCCCUCCUCUCUGUUCCCUCCUCCCCCUCUCUCCCUCCCUCCCUCACCCUGAAGUCUCAGACCCACCCUCUCCUCGAGACUUGACGAGGGAUGGAGGGAGGGAUGGUGGAGGAGGGAUGGAGGGAUGGUGGAGGAGGGAUGG